UGGCGGACGGGUGAGUAACGUGUGGGUAACCUGCCUUACACAGGGGGAUAACACCUGGAAACAGGUGCUAAUACCGCAUAAGCGCACAGGGCCGCAUGGCCCGGUGUGAAAAACUCCGGUGGUGUAAGAUGGACCCGCGUCUGAUUAGCUUGUUGGCGGGGUAGGGGCCCACCAAGGCGACGAUCAGUAGCCGGCCUGAGAGGGUGGACGGCCACAUUGGGACUGAGACACGGCCCAAACUCCUACGGAAGGCAGCAG
rnacentral:rRNA from 1 species